UUUCCGUAGGUGAACCUGCGGAAGGAUCAUUAACGAGUUAGGGUCUUCCAGGCCCGACCUCCCAACCCUAUGUUUAUUGAACCUCUGUUGCUUCGGCGGACCCGCCUCACGGCCGCCGGAGGACCGCUGCAAGGCGUCCUCUGGCCAGCGUCUGCCGAUGGCCAACCACUUAAACUCUGAAUGAAUCGUGUCAUAUGUCUAAGUCUAUGAUUAAAUUAAAGCAAAACUUUCAACAACGGAUCUCUUGGUUCUG
rnacentral:misc_RNA from 1 species